CGGUUUAAUUGGAUUCAACGCCGGAAAGUCUUACCGGGACCGACAGCAAUAUGAAGGCCAGGCUGAAGACUUUGCCGGAUUAGCUGAGAGGUGGUGCAUGGCCGUCGUCAGUUCGUACUGUGAAGCAUCCUGUUAAGUCAGGCAACGAGCGAGACCCACGCCCACAGUUGCCAGCGUACUCUCCGGAGUGACGGGUACACUGUGGGACCGCCGCUGCUAAAGCGGAGGAAGGAAUGGGCAACGGUAGGUCAGUAUGCCCCGAAUAUCCCGGGCUACACGCGAGCUACAAUGGUUGGUACAAUGGGUAUCUACCCCGAAAGGGGACGGGAAUCUCCUAAAACCAAUCUUAGUUCGGAUUGAGGGCUGCAACUCGCCCUCAUGAAGCUGGAAUCCGUAGUAAUCGCGUUUCAACAGAACGCGGUGAAUACGUCCCUGCUCCUU
rnacentral:rRNA from 1 species